CCUACGGGAGGCUGCAGUGGGGAAUAUUGGACAAUGGGCGAAAGCCUGAUCCAGCAAUGCCGCGUGAGUGAUGAAGGCCUAGGGUUGUAAAGCUCUUUUACCCGGGAGACUGUACCGGGAGAAUAAGCCCCGGCUAACUCCGUGCCAGCAGCCGCGGUAAUACGGGGGGGGCUAGCGUUGUUCGGAAUUACUGGGCGUAAAGCGCACGUAGGCGGUUGGUAAGUUAGAGGUGAAAGCCCAGGGCUCAACCCUGGAAUUGCCUUUAAGACUGCGACUAGUGGGUGAGAGAGGUAGUGGAAUUCCGAGUGUAGAGGUGAAAUUCGUAGAUAUUCGGAAGAACACCAGUGGCGAAGGCGGCUCACUGGCUCAUCGACGCUGAGGUGCGAAAGCGUGGGGAGCAAACAGGAUUAGAUACCCCGGUAGUC
rnacentral:rRNA from 1 species